AUCGCUUCUCGGCCUUUUGGCUAAGAUCAAGUGUAUAAUGACCUUGUAGUCAGUGUUAUUGCUAAACUAACUUAGUAUUUCUAGAAGCAUUUUUAUAGAUUCUUUGGGAUUUUCAAUAUCAACAAUAAUGCUGUGUGCAAAUAGAAACAGUUUACUUCUU
rnacentral:snRNA from 1 species